AUUACCUCACAGACGUGCUUGGUAACUUUAGCUAAACAAUAGAGCUCAUGUCGUGGUAAACUACACUAGACGACUGCAGAAUCCCCAGCGGUACUAUCAGCCGGUCGGGCGUCUACAUGCAGGCGUGAUUGGCCGAGUCCUACGAUGGAAACAAGACCCACCGGGACUCUGGCCAGGAUAAAGUGCAGUACCGUCCUCCGUCAGACUUCAUCAGCCCGUCGAUGCCGACCGUGAACCGCCCUCCGCCGUCGAACAGAGAGUACCGUCCCUUCUGCGCUCUCUUCAGGACCCCCGCGGACCGGACGAGGACGUCCCCGUCGCCACAGAGCUGCCUGCAGAAGUACUUGACGUUCGUCGUGGCCCACGAAUGCGUGCAGGUGAUGUUGAGCUGCUUGUUCUCCGUGCCUUG